AGGUACCAGAAGGAAGAAGGCGAACUCGGUUCCUGAUUUUCGUGGAGCUAAUGCUCUGGUAGGGAGCACACAUUGAAUAAAUAAUUGCGGGAAACAUUAAUUUGUUCUAAAUGAGAUAUAUGCUGCAAAGGACAACAGAGGCUGCUGGGAGAGGGUGUCAGCAGGGAACCAGCUGAAGUCGUCAACUGAAUCUUCGCCACAACUUUGCUGCAUGUCCACCCUGAUGCUAUCUUCUCUCCUCUUGCUGCUGCAAACCGAUACAAGUCAUAGCCCCAAGGAACAGAUGAGUCAGUGCUUGCAAGGCUGCACGUCCCCAGGUGAGAUUGGUUUUCUCUUCUGAGCUUUGGAUGUGAAUGUUCAACUACCUACUGAACACAUGGAGGAGGGAGGAGCAAUUCCCAAAAAGGAAGUGAUGCAGCUUCACCCUCCCACCCUUGACCCCAGCCCCACCCCAAGUCGCUGGAAGGAUGCCCGGCACGCGUAUAGUGGGUGCUCUCCAAAUAUGUGACGAAUAUGAACAGAACAGGAAGGAAGGAGAACUGUCACCUGGACUCCAUCUGUUGGAGUUGAAGACACUGUUCGCUGUGCUGACUGCUGUCUGUUGAGGCCCUUCAGUGACUUGGGUAGAUCGAGUGUGGUGAUAAGGUUGGCAUGUUCAUAACAGAUAAGCCAUAGACGUGGGUACUCACAUCAACUCUGGCAACCCCCUCCCCAUCCCACAUACACCACAAGCUCCGGAUAUGAAAAAACUACUCUCUCAGUGGAGCAAGAGGCUCCAAAUCUCACCUGCCUGAGUCUGCCUCAUUGCAAACCUGAUGCCAUGAUUUGGGGCUCAUUUGGGUUAUGUGGGAGUGAUCUCUAGGGGUGUAAGGCCAUUGAUAAAUGUGCCUGUGUCUUUUUAUUUUUUGUGAGGAAGAUUGGCGCUGAGCUAACAUCUGUUGUCCAUCUUCCUCUUUUUGCUUGAGGAAGACUGUUGAUGAGCUAACAUCUGUGCCAGUCUUCCUCUAUUUUACGUGGGAUGCCACCACAGCAUGGCCUGACAAGCAGUGCUAGCUCUGCACCCAGGAUCCAAACCUGCGAACCCUGGGCUGCUGAAGCAGAGCACGUGAACCCGACCGCUAUGCCACCAGGCUGGCCCGCCAUCUGUGUCUUUUUAUGAGGCUGGUGCUCUCACUGGGUAUGUGGGUAUUGAAUGGACAUUUCUGAGACAGUGCUCAAUAAGCCCAGGUUUGACCACAGUCUUACCUCUGGAAAGGUCAUCUUAUCUUUUUUUUUCUUGGCAGCAUUCUCUCUGUGGUCACAGAAGACCUCCGAGACCAUGUGGGAAAGAGGGGCUGGUUGGUUCACUGACACUGAGAGAGAUUAUCCCCCAUCAUCAAAAAGACUUUAUGGUGCAUAUUAUAAAAUUUUAAGACUCUCAGGGAAUAUUAUGAUGUUUCCUUUUAGAAAAAUAUAUCUGAAACAGCCUAAAUGUCCAUCAACAGGGUAAUGGAUAAACCAAAUGUGGUGUGUACAUAUAGUGGAAUAUUAUCCAGCCUUAAAAAGGAAUGAAAUUCUGAUACAUGCUACAACAUGGGCAAACUUUGAAGACAUUAUACUAAGUAAAACAGGACAGACACAAAGGAACAAAUAUUGUACAAUUCCAUUGAUGUGCGCUACUCAGAAUAGUCAAAGUCGUACAGACAGAACGGACAAUGGUGGUUCCCAGGAGCUGCGGGCGGUGGGGAAUGGUGGUUAUUGUUGGAUGGGUACAGGUUUCGGCUGGGGAUAAUGGAAGAGGUCUGGAGAUGGGUGGGGGUGCUGAUUGCACAACAAUGUGAAUGUACUUCAUGGCACUGGGCUGUAUACUUUAAAAGGGUUAAAAUGGUAAACUUUAUGUUAUGUACAUUUACUGCAAGAAAAAUUGUAUAUCUGAAUCUCUUUUCAAAGGUAUCCUCUACUUGUCUGCUCUUGCUCCAUCAGGUUUCGGAAAUUUUAGUUGAAUUGCUUUUUAAAUAUGUGCUAUAAAUUUGUUUUCUUCAGAGCGCCAGUUGGUCUGAGAACAAUCUCAGGAAAAGGAGUGUGUGGGUAUGUAUGUGUGUGUGUGCAUGUGUUGGAGUGUACGUGUGUGCAUGCGUGUGUGUGUGCAUGCGUGUGCAUGUGUGUGUGUGAGGGGCUCUAGGUUAUAACCCUGGGUGUAAAAGAGCACCUGAGGUGGAGAAGACACCCAGUGGCUGGCCUCUCUCUUGGUUUCUUCCGCAUGGAGGCUUUGUGGAAAAUUGCAAAGGUCCUGUUUCACCAAAUGCAAAGUUUAAGGCACAAAUGUACCAAACUUUGUACGUUUUAAGUGUAAGACUUCAGGCAAAAGCAGGUGUACGAGCAUUUGUCACCCAUAUGAUUGUGGAAGUGACAUUCAUCCGUUCCAGAAAUAUUUAUGAGCGCAUGAUGUGUCAGGUGCUGGGGAAAAAAUGAAUUCAGCAUAACCGCUCAAAUUCCUAUAAGUAGGACUGGCUACAUAAUGUGUGGGGCCCAGUGCAAAAUGAAAAUGCAGAGCCUAUUAGAAAUUAUGAAAAAUUUCAAGGCGACGACAGCAGAGCGUUAAGCCAAGCACGGGGCCCUUCUGAGCGUGGGAGUGGGGGCUGCGAGAGGCUGUAACUGCAGAGGGCUGGAGCCCAUGAAGCCAGGCCGUGGGAUGGUGACAUGAAUGCUCCAAUCAGCCACUGGGGGAGCUGGGCCCAGGGCAGCAGUGGCUCCUCAUUGCAUCUCACUUGAAGUAAAUCUCUUUUAUCUUUUAACACACAUUUGAACACCCAUCUAUAGCACCGUUCAAUAAACAUUCUUGUGCUAAUAUCUUCCUUUUAAUCAGAUUACCAUCUUGUCAUUGGAUUUUCAGAUCUCCAGCUCUACCCCCACCCCUCCGCCAACAGGCAGUAGCAUGCUGGAUAAAUAGCAGCUCACCUCUGACCACCCAGCUCGAGACAACAGACUGCCACCCUGCUGCGUUCACUGAGAAAGAAGCCCUACCUGCUGUUUCCAUCAAUCGCUGUGCUGACAGAGCAGUCUCGCGACUAUUGUGAAAGGGACAUUUCAAUCCUAUGUGAAACAUCCUCUCUGGGGGUAUAUAACCACUCUGUGCACCCCACUUCUUUGGUGCCCUUUCUUCCUUUGGGAAGAAGGGCCCCGGGCCAUGGUCCUCAGAUUUCAGCUCAG
rnacentral:lncRNA from 1 species